rnacentral:rRNA from 1 species
GACGAACGCUGGCGGCGUGCUUAACACAUGCAAGUCGAACGAAGAGCGAUGGAAGCUUGCUGCUAUCAAUCUUAGUGGCGAACGGGUGAGUAACGCGUAAUCAACCUGCCCUUCAGAGGGGGACAACAGUGGGAAACGACUGCUAAUACCGCAUACGAUCUAAUCUCGGCAUCGAGGAGAGAUGAAAGGUGGCCUCUACAUGUAAGCGAUCACUGAAGGAGGGGGGUGAGACGGAUUUGCUAGUUGGGGGGGGAACGGCCCACCAAGGGGAGGAUCCGUAGCCGGUCUGAGAGGAUGGACGGCCCCCAUUGGACUGAGACACCGCCCAGGCUCCUUCGGGGAGCAGCCGUGGGGGAUCUUUCGCCAUUGACGGAAGGCUUGCGGCGCAACGCCGCGGGAGUGAUGACGGCCUUCGGGUUGUAAAGCUCUGUUAAUCGGGACGAAAGGCCUUCUUGCGAAUAGUGAGAAGGAUUGACGUUACCGGAAUAGAAAGCCACGGCUAACUACGUG